GCCGCGGUAGCUCAGCGGUAGAGCGAAGGUUUGAAGAACCUUGCGUCGGGGGUUCGACUCCCUCCCGCGGCACAA
rnacentral:tRNA from 2 species